GAUGAACGCUAGCGGCAGGCUUAACACAUGCAAGUCGAGGGGCAGCGCGGGAUAGCAAUAUCCUGGCGGCGACCGGCGGAAGGGUGCGUAACGCGUGAGCGACAUGCCCGUUGCCCGGGGACAACCGGUGGAAACGCCGACUAAUCCCCGAUGGGAUAUUGUGCCGCAUGGCACGAUAUUGAAAGUUACGGCGGCGACGGAUUGGCUCGCGUCCGAUUAGCUGGUUGGCGGGGUAACGGCCCACCAAGGCUGCGAUCGGUAGGGGUUCUGAGAGGAAGGCCCCCCUCGAUGGGACUGAGCCACGGCCCAUCCUCCUACGGGAGGCAGCAGUGAGGAAUAGUGGUCAAUGGGCGGAAGCCUGAACCAGCCAUGCCGCGUGCGGGAAGGAGGCCCUUUGGGCUGUGAACCGCUUUUGCCUGGGGGCAAUAAGGGCGUCGCGCACGUCCGAUGAGAGUACCAGGCGAAUAAGCAUCGGCUAACUCCGUG
rnacentral:rRNA from 1 species